GGGGUGUGCUCAGAGCAGGGACCUGAAGAAUGGCUCCUCUGUUUAUAACCCACCCAGCAGGAAUCUGAGGUCACUGUGAUGAGAGGCACAAAACUUGUGGCCUCCCUAAGAAUAAUUCCCUACGUGU
ensembl:snoRNA